GAUGAACGCUGGCGGCGUGCCUAAUACAUGCAAGUCGAGCGAACAGAUGAGGAGCUUGCUCCUCUGACGUUAGCGGCGGACGGGUGAGUAACACGUGGAUAACCUACCUAUAAGACUGGGAUAACUUCUGGAAACCGGAGCUAAUACCGGAUAAUAUAUUGAACCGCAUGGUUCAAUAGUGAAAGACGGUUUUGCUGUCACUUAUAGAUGGAUCCGCGCCGCAUUAGCUAGUUGGUAAGGUAACGGCUUACCAAGGCAACGAUGCGUAGCCGACCUGAGAGGGUGAUCGGCCACACUGGAACUGAGACACGGUCCAGACUCCUACGGGAGGCAGCAGUAGGGAAUCUUCCGCAAUGGGCGAAAGCCUGACGGAGCAACGCCGCGUGAGUGAUGAAGGUCUUCGGAUCGUAAAACUCUGUUAUUAGGGAAGAACAAAUGUGUAAGUAACUAUGCACGUCUUGACGGUACCUAAUCAGAAAGCCACGGCUAACUACGUG
rnacentral:rRNA from 1 species